rnacentral:rRNA from 1 species
GUCUGCGGCUAUUCCACCCUGAACACGCCCCAUCUCGUCUGAUCUCGGAAGCUAAGCAGGGUCGGGCCUGGUUAGUCCUUGGAUGGGAGAAUCAAGUAUUUAACUCCAGAGAUUUCUAGGACUUGCAUGGA